rnacentral:rRNA from 1 species
CGCUGUCACUCCUACGGGAGGCAGCAGUGGGGAAUAUUGCACAAUGGGGGAAACCCUGAUGCAGCCAUGCCGCGUGUGUGAAGAAGGCCUUCGGGUUGUAAAGCACUUUCAGUAGGGAGGAAGGUAGUGUAGUUAACACCUGCAUUAUUUGACGUUACCUACAGAAGAAGCACCGGCUAACUCCGUGCCAGCAGCCGCGGUAAUACGGAGGGUGCGAGCGUUAAUCGGAAUUACUGGGCGUAAAAGCGCAUGCAGGCGGCCUGUUAAGUCAGAUGUGAAAGCCCGGGGCUUAACCUCGGAAUUGCAUUUGAAACUGGCAGGCUAGAGUCUUGUAGAGGGGGUAGAAUUUCAGGUGUAGCGGUGAAAAUGCGUAGAGAUCUGAAGGAAUACCAGUGGCGAAGGCGGCCCCCUGGACAAAGACUGACGCUCAGAUGCGAAAGCGUGGGGAGCAAACAGGAUUAGAUACCCUGGUAG